GCGUUAGUAGUGCAUUGGAUUGGAACACGCGCUCUCGGACAGAGUGAGAUGUGGGUUCGAGUCCCAGCUAGCGCG